rnacentral:lncRNA from 1 species
GAGGUCCUUGCGAGCCGACUGAAGCAGACGGAAGAGGGGCAGCCCUUGGAGGAACUGCUCAGCCAGAGCUUCAGUUACUUGCAGAAUUUGCAGCACAGCAUUCCCAGUUUCCAGUGUGGUCUUUAUCUCCUCAGACUUCUGAUGGCCCUUCUGGAGAAGUCUGCAGUACCUACCCAGAAGAAAGAAAAACUUGGUGAUGAGCCUAGAUCCCAGUUUCAGGGGAAGAGGGAGAUAUGAAUAGGAUUGAUGUCUUACAUUUGCAAUUUUGGUGUUUUCCUAGGAUUUUGACAUUUUUACAUGUAAAUCCCACAAAAUGAUAAGCAUGCCGUCUCCUCCACCAAGGAGACCAGGUUUCAGGAUGGGCCAUGACACUGCGCAGUAUGACUUUGGUUAGAUUAACUGACUGUGCCGUUUUGGUUUCUGUAUGUAUUUUGUUUUUAUUCUGUAUAUAAGUGUUUCACUUGGAUGAAUAUGAUAAUGUUGGAGGCCAGAGGUGGGCAUUGGAUUCACUAUAACUGGAGUUACAGUUGUGAGCUGCCCAAUGAAUGCUGGGAAAAAUCAGGGUUCUCUGGAAGACCAGCAAAUGCUCUUAACCACUGAGCUGUCUCUCCAGCCCCAAGUUUUCUUCUUUUUCUUUAUACUAGGGAUUAAACCCAGUGUUAAACUAUUGAGCUCUACCCUCCAUCCUUAAUAAUUUUCUGUUUAACUUUUGUUUACCUUUCACCUUUUU